rfam:Triticum aestivum genome assembly, contig: Triticum_aestivum_CS42_TGACv1_scaffold_327849_4BS
CAAAUACUCCCUCCGUCCAGAAAUACAUGUCAUCAAAAUGAAUAAACGGGGAUGUAUCUAGAUGUAUUUUAGUUCUAGAUACAUCCCCUUUUGUCCAUUUUUUUGACAAAUAUUUUCGGACGGAGGGAGUAUUUA